rnacentral:lncRNA from 1 species
GUCCUGAAUUUCACUCAGUGCUGACUAUUAAAGAUAAUUUAAUUGAUCUCACCUCUUAUUUGGUUUGGAUACGUGAAAUCCCAUCAAGUUAAAGGAUCACGAGGAAGUCUCUCCCUUAAGGUUCAUGGAGACUCAAGACAAACAAGGUGUUGCUGGUACGAAUGCACACGUCUGCAAAUCUCAGGAAGCUCGGUGUCUGAUGAGGCAUUGAUCCUUACACCGAAUGGACAUGAGACUACGGAAACGGCUGCCACAGGGAAAAGCAUCAGGCUGUGGCUUCUUAGGUCUGAGAAUCUGCUGACACUGCGUUCCUGAGGGAAGAAAGUGCUACUGACUGAAUAAACCUGGGGUUUUAGGGGAGGAAGAUUCUGAG